rnacentral:rRNA from 1 species
GCCUGCACGAAGUUGGAGUUGCUAGUAAUCGCAGAUCAGAAUGCUGCGGUGAAUGCGUUCCCGGGUCUUGUACACACCGCCCGUCACACCAUGGAAGUUGGGGGUGCCCAAAGUCGGUUAGAAAAUAAACUGCCUAAGGCAAAACCAAUGACUGGGGUGAAGUCGUAACAAGGUAGC